GAUGAACGCUGGCGGCGUGCCUAAUACAUGCAAGUCGAGCGAACAGAUAAGGAGCUUGCUCCUUUGACGUUAGCGGCGGACGGGUGAGUAACACGUGGGUAACCUACCUAUAAGACUGGGAUAACUUCGGGAAACCGGAGCUAAUACCGGAUAACAUUUUGAACCGCAUGGUUCUAAAGUGAAAGAUGGUUUUGCUAUCACUUAUAGAUGGACCCGCGCUGUAUUAGCUAGUUGGUAAGGUAACGGCUUACCAAGGCGACGAUACGUAGCCGACCUGAGAGGGUGAUCGGCCACACUGGAACUGAGACACGGUCCAGACUCCUACGGGAGGCAGCAGUAGGGAAUCUUCCGCAAUGGGCGAAAGCCUGACGGAGCAACGCCGCGUGAGUGAUGAAGGGGUUCGGCUCGUAAAACUCUGUUAUUAGGGAAGAACAAACGUGUAAGUAACUGUGCACGUCUUGACGGUACCUAAUCAGAAAGCCACGGCUAACUACGUG
rnacentral:rRNA from 1 species